GCUGGGUGGGAUGGCUCACACCUGUAGUCCCAGCUACUUGGGAGGCUGAGGUGGGAGGAUCUCUUCAGCCUGGGAAGUCAAGGCUGCAGUGAGCCAUGAUUGAGCCACUGCACUCCAGCCUGGGCAGCAGAGCAAGCUCCUGUCUCAA
ensembl:misc_RNA Metazoa_SRP Metazoan signal recognition particle RNA